CCAAGUUCAGUGAACCUAACACACUGUUCAUUCAGCCAUUGAAACCCAGCAGAGGAGCAGGCAGGGAAGGGAGGGUGGAAGGACAGAGGCUCCCCUUUCUUCUGGGCUUGGUUCCGGAGGAGGCCAAAAGAGAGUUUACCAGGGAAGCAAUUUGAAGGCAAAAGUCCACUCUAAAGUGAAGAUUCCUCCAGAAGCCGUCCACGGAGACCACGAUCAGGAAGCCUGGGCCGACUGCCUAUGAGAGGUGAACACAAGAGAUUCCCCUGAAGGUCACAGACCGGCUGGUUGGUGUAUGCAAAAGAGAAAGAGAGACCCUGUUUGAAAAAGGCUGAAGGACUUUCUCCCCUACUGUGAUGACGAUCCCAGUAUUUACUGCCACCAGUAUUGAUCAAAGGUACCAGAUCUCCUGUCAAGAGACAUUGUACUGAAUGGAAGAACUUCUUGAUAUUCUCCUAAUAAAGGAUACAAAGUCUUCCCGGAUAACCUGGAUGGUGAAAACUGUUCCUUCAUGGAAUGUCACCAUGUGGCACAAUCAUACUUCACUUGAGCCAUAGAAAAUUCAAACACUCCCAAAACAACUAGUACACCAUGGAGAGAGAAAAUCUAAUGGCUUCAUGUUAUAGUUUGAAUUUGAAAUGCUCCCCACAGGUUCAUGUAUUUAAUUUGGUGAUACCAUUUGGGAAUACUGUGUGACAUGUAGGGGUCACACCUUGAUGGGAGAAGUGCAUCACGAGGGGCGGGCCUUGAGAAGCCUAGUCCACUUCCUGUUUACUCUACAUGUUUCACAACUAUGUAUGCCAUGUGACCAGCUGUCCUCUGGCUCCAGCUGCCACUCCCUCCAUGUUGUGAUGGAAAACAGUCCCUUGAACUAUAAAAGAGAAUAAACAGCCAAGUCCCAACUCACCAAAAUCUGUUAUCAGUAAUGACUUGCCCUAUAAAAAUUUAUAAUGUCCAUGAAAAAAAUGGUUAAAACCUUUAGGGGUAUCCAUCUUUUGACAUUACAACAUGACAAUGUCAUCUACAAAUGUUCUGGGUAGGAUUUGUAGCUAUAGGAGAGUAGAAGAUACCUGAGAAUCACAAGUGGCAGCUUGGACACACCUGCCAAAUAACAGGGUCCCUAACUUGAGACGGUUUAACUUACAUUCUUCAAUUUUAUUGUUCUACAAGAUCGAUAAGCAUCCGGUAAGUACUAUACUUCAAAUCUUUCAUCUGGAUCUUUUCCAAGGCUGGUCUUGUUAAGCAGCUAGCCACAUUCUUUCGUUGACUAUUUGUAAGUUUUGAUGCUCAGUAGGUCCUAUUAUUAAAUGCUUUUUGACACAAAGAUAAUUUCAAUUUAUGGAUGUUUAUGAGGAUGUAACUCAGUUCUAACUCAAAGAGCAGUUGGAGCUUCUUUGACAAUAUUGUUAAUUAAACAGGGAGUGUGCACUGUGCCUGCCUGCCUACCUUCCUCUUUCCCUCUCUCCUUCCUUUCUUUCCUCCUUUUAUCAUCUAUAUCGUAAAGAGAAAAAUAUACUCUCAAUAGAAAGAUACAUCUCUCAUAGUUGUAUUAGAUGCUAGCUUGAGUUGAAGCAACAGAUUUGCGAGUUGAAGUUGACA
rnacentral:lncRNA from 1 species